rnacentral:misc_RNA from 1 species
CAAAUGCGAUACGCAAUGCGAAUUGCAGAAUUCCGCGAGUCAUCAGAUCUUUGAACGCAAAUGGCGCUCGGUCAAACAAUACCCGAGCAUGUUUGUUUCAGUGUGUUAGGAAUCAAAAAUCUAAAUGCGAUUGAAUAUUAUUAAUUCUCUCGUUAAAUUUGAAAGCACUGAAUUGUUCAGUGCCGAUCGAAGUAGUCACUUCCUAGCAAGUGAUCUCGAUUGUGCAAUACUGAAGAUUCAUCAAAGUGUUUUAAUAAAAAUUUAUUUCUCCAUUCAACACCUGAAAUCAAGCAAGAUCACCCGCUGAACUUAA